rnacentral:misc_RNA from 1 species
AAAACAUUUGGACACAACUACAUCCUGAACUCAAAUUUCCAUCGUUAUCUUUCACAGUAAUAAACUUUACGAAUCUUACUCUGACAACAAUAAUCCAACUUGUUCAUUUGAUAAGAGCCGUAGUUCCUAAUUGACAAUUGGCGCAAUCAGGAAAAGCCAGAUUACAAUAUCAGCAGCUAAAAAGAAUCAUUAAAUGCUUACAUUCUUCAUAUUAAAUUUUAAUGAUUUCAUAGAAAACAAAUACCAAAGACACUCUUCUGCGUCAUCCAAUUUCCACAGAAAGCAAAAUUAGCAAUCAUAGUACCUCUGGG